AUAAAAAUCCGUGGACCGAUCUGGUCUAAAGUUGCAGAUUUGAUCACCAAAACACCGCCCAUUGCUCCGAAAGCAGGGCCGAUGAAUGGGCGAGGGAAAAAGGAGUUUUCGGCAAAUCAACAAUUUCGUUCUACUGAAGAAAACAGAGCAGGCGACUGAGAUCAUAUUAAUGGCCGAUGAAAUCUACGCGCCAAAUCUGUUGACAAGCAUUUCUACAGUAGAUUUUUCUCCUACCCGCCUCACAGUGCCAUAAUCCACGUUUUUGGGUCCAUUCUUGGUCUUCCUUGGCUGCCCUUGGGAGGAUCACUUGACUUAGGGUUAUUCUUCUCUGUUCUUACUGUCACUUUGUAUUCGUUUUGUUUCUGGAUUGCAAGAUAGAGACUGAGUGAAGACCGGACCAUGUUAUCAAACGUUUAACUGGAAACAUGGAGGAGGAUAAUGGGCUUGAGCUUAGCUUGGGGCUGUCUUGUGGGGGAUCAUCGGCCAAAUCCAAAGGUAAAAAUGCCUGCUCUUCUGAUGUUGGAGCAGAGGAAAGUGAUAGAGGCAGUAAAAUAAUCGAUGAUUUCAAGAAUUUCCUUCAAGGUGGCAAUCAGAGACAAGAUAUGGGCUCAGGUCUUUUGAGAAGUGACUCGAUAAAGCCUAAGGAGAAAUUUUUUAACGACCUUUCCCGGGCUCAUAUAGAUGGAGAUGAUUCUCUGAACUUGAAGGACACUGGAAUUUGGGUAAUGAAAAAUGAGAACCCUGUAGACAUUCAGGAAGAAAAACAGCCAGAGGUGGGUAAUAAACGAAAGCUAUUACUUGAGGAGAUAAACUGUCAGAAGAAGCAUGAAGGAGAGUCUUGUCAGAAUGAUGAGAAGAUAAAAACAUCACUUAUUUCCUCAACUGAAGAUGGCUCUGCAGCUGAAAAUGAGGAUGUUGGAGAGUCUGAACGUGAGGGUUCUACAUCGAGGCCAGUUUCACAAAACGAUGGAUAUGCUGAGUUAAGUACUGCAGACCUGAGUGGGCAGAAGAAGUUUAACAGUUCAUCUGGUAGUGAUAUUGAGCUUCAUAACUUCAACAGAAGCGCUCCAUUCACUGUUCAAACUACAAUGCGUAAUGUUAUUUCUCCUUCAACAGUCAAAGAGUCUCACGUUGCUGGUGCAUCCAGUUCAACUAGCCAUUCUUUACAUGGCAUAAGGCAAGUAUUACUCGCUGGAAAUGGCGUGCAAUGUGGGGUCCAGCCUAUGAAUCCUGGAAACUUGCCUUUGAUGUUUGGAUAUCCUUCUAGCCAGCUUCCAAUUUUGGAAACAGAUAAUUCCCGGGGUUUGAUUUCCCAGCCACCGUUGCAUGAUCCCUGUCGCAGAGUUCAAUCCUCUUCAGGAAUUCUUCCUAAUUCAGCUGAGGUUACUCAAUAUGAUGCCAGGAAGUUAGAACAGGCCAAAGUUGAUAGCAGACCGCAAAUUGUUGAAGAAGGGUCCUCUUCUCAAGCAGGGGCAAAAGGAAGCAGCAGUAACCUUGGGGUGAAAGAUGUGUCUGAACGAUCAUCAGGAGGUCUACUAAACGAAUUCUCUGCUAUAAAGCCAGGCCUCGCUGCAGAUGUCAAAUUUGGGGGAUGCGGUUCAUUCCCUAAUCUACCUUGGGUUUCUACCACCGGUCCAGGUCCAAAUGGAAGAACAAUUUCUGGUGUGACUUACAGAUACAAUGCAAACCAGAUCAAAAUCGUCUGUGCUUGCCACGGUACACACAUGUCUCCCGAGGAAUUCAUUCGACAUGCUAGUGAAGAGCGUGUUAGUUCAGAGAACGAAACCAGUUUGGCUCCAUUUCCAAAUAACAACCCUUCAACCUCUACACAAAGUUGACUCGUGACGUUUAUGUUUGCAUAGAUAGGAAUUGGGAAAGUUGACUCGGCAAUCUUGAGAAAUGGGAAAGUUCUGUUUUUAACUGAUUCUACCGAGUUUUGUGCAAGCUGAAUAGCGCCAAAUCUGCUGAAAUGGAGCUGAAGAAGUUGACAAAUGCAGCAUCUUUUUUGGUGGUUUGAAAUUUAAUUGAGGUCAGAAUGGCUGUUUCUGUUUGGUUUGGCAGAGCAGUUGGAACUUUUACACGUGUCAGCAACCCACAUUGACUAUUUUUCUGCAGCUUCACAUGCAUUAUCUUGUCAGCUUUUCCGUGCUGCAACCAAUCAGAUCGUUGAGAAUCAUCCACGUGUCAGCAAAUAUCUUGUGUCAGUUUAUUACACUGCCAACUUGCUUUCACUUUCCAAUUUUAGGUGCAAAGAAUGACCUAGAAGAUUUACAUUAUUGAAGGGAAACUUUCAUUUGAUGAAGAUGAUU